rnacentral:tRNA from 1 species
GGGGCCAUAACUCAGUGGUUAGAGUCACCGGCUCAUAACCGGCAGGUCCCAGGUUCGAAUCCUGGUGGCCCCACCA